GAUGAACGCUGGCGGCGUGCCUAAUACAUGCAAGUCGAGCGAACGGACGAGAAGCUUGCUUCUCUGAUGUUAGCGGCGGACGGGUGAGUAACACGUGGAUAACCUACCUAUAAGACUGGGAUAACUUCGGGAAACCGAAGCUAAUACCGGAUGAUAUUUUGAACCGCAUGGUUCAAAAGUGAAAGACGGUCUUGCUGUCACUUAUAGAUGGAUCCGCGCUGCAUUAGCUAGUUGGUAAGGUAACGGCUUACCAAGGCAACGAUGCAUAGCCGACCUGAGAGGGUGAUCGGCCACACUGGAACUGAGACACGGUCCAGACUCCUACGGGAGGCAGCAGUAGGGAAUCUUCCGCAAUGGGCGAAAGCCUGACGGAGCAACGCCGCGUGAGUGAUGAAGGUCUGCGGAUCGUAAAACUCUGUUAUUAGGGAAGAACAUAUGUGUAAGUAACUGUGCACAUCUUGACGGUACCUAAUCAGAAAGCCACGGCUAACUACGU
rnacentral:rRNA from 1 species